GUCGUCUUUAAUCUCUGUUUCUAAUUGCCUUUCGAGAAAACAUGGGAAAAUCUAUUCUCAUGGUUUAUCGGUAACUAAGCCAAACUUUUUAUUUGAUAUGUGAUGUCUUUCAAUUGCAUACCGUAGAUAUGGUUAUUAUUUCCGUAGAUCUGUUCUUUGAUUUUUAUUUUCUUGCCUAUUCUUGCUUUGAUUCUUCAUUCUUUGAUAAUUGGAUUUCAAAGCGGUUAUAAGGUUAAACUAUUGUUGCUUCAUUUUGUGACUACCUAAUACAUCAUAAGGAUGGGAUGGAGAAUUUUUAGUUUAUAUAUCAAUAUGUUAUUUCAAUUGUAUGAAAUUUUAGUAUUUUUUUUAUUUUUUAAAUUGCAAAGCAAAAAUAGCUGGCGUGUAAAAUAGUAACACGGAUAAAUGGUGAGGAAAUUAAGAAAUAUCUAUGAAAAUUGAGUAAUAGAUGUGAGACCCAUCCACUUAAUUUGAUGAUUAACCUUCUGCUUUUUAUUUACUGCAUCCACUUAAAAUGUUCUCAGGCAAUAUGAGGCCCAUCUUCU
rnacentral:misc_RNA from 1 species